AUACUUACCUGAGCAGGGGAAGAUACCGUGAUCAAGAAGGCUGUUCACCCAGGGCGAGGCUCAGCCAUUGCACUUCGGCUGUGCUGACCCUGCGAAUUCCCCAAAUGUGGGAAUCUCGACUGCAUAAUUUCUGGUGGUGGGGGACUGCGUUCGCGCUCUCACCUG
ensembl:snRNA U1 U1 spliceosomal RNA